GGUUCUAGAGGGAUGUGGGCGGCAAGCAAGCUCACAUCCCCGGCAUUGUUUAACGGGCCGCCGCCGAUGUUUUCAAUGUCACUGAGGCCAGGCUGAUAAGAUUGUGCCUAAAAUAUCAGUUUAUUUGGUAGCGGAACCAGUUGGACGCUGGUUGGCGCAGGUGGAACAAGCCAGCAGAAAAAAUGAAGGCGCUAGUACUGCUAAACGUCGUGGUUGCACUGGCAGUAGUAAGAGUUAGCUAUGCACGUAGGAUCAAUCAAGAUAUGUUACCUGGAGGAAUGGGAGGAGGUCUACUUGGUGGCGGUGGCACAGGCCUUGAACUGCUGGGCAGAAUUUUGCCAGGUGCAGGUGGUGCUGCAGGCUACGACACGUCCGGUCCUGACUAUGGGAUUGGACGAGG
rnacentral:lncRNA from 1 species